GCCAGCGUCGAGUCUCUGUCCAUUCAAGCGGGUUUCUUGUGUUUACACAACCAAACACAGUUUAUUUAAGGGCAAUUUCUGCCUUGUUUUCGUCGGGUUCAGCGCUAUUUGUGCCUCUGCUGAUUAAAACACUUACAGCAGACAACGAACAUAUCUGCUCCUCCUUCAGUGAAGCUCCUCCCACAACACAGAGACAGAGUUUAUUGAAGGACAGAGAGAACAUGAGAGAUCCAGAACCCUGCAGAAUGAAACACACUGAAGAACAAACAGGUUGGUGUUAAUU